rnacentral:lncRNA from 1 species
UAUUUACAAAACCCACUAGACUACAAAAUUUAUAGUAGGUUCCAGCAAGAAAACAGAUACUUUUCGGAACACAAUUCAAAACAUCCAAAACAACAACUCAAAAGAAGACGGAAAAGAACCUAAACCUCAGUUGUCAAAAUACAAGUAAAGGUAGUUGACAAGAUCACAAACACGCCCUUGAUCAACUUAGUUCAAUUAUACUGCCUAUCCACCUCUUAACAUCAAAGAAAAAGGCAACUGUUUAUUCUUUCACUGCCCCCUUUUUUUAAAAAAAAAAAAAAAAAAUCAACCUGCAUCUUACAGGAGAAAAGAAUAGAAAAUACAUAACUCGGCUUCCUAGUAAUUUAUUAUGUGAAAUUGAUAUGACCCUAAUAAUUCAGUAAAUGUUAGAAAGUUUCUCUGUAAAGGCACUGCUUAAUAAAUUGCUUUAAGAUAGUGCACAUUGGCAGCUGCAAAAGCAGUCAGUUGAAGCAGUUUCUU